GGUGGCUCAGUGGUAGAGCGCUUGCCUUGUAUGCAUGAGGACCUGGGUUUGAUUUCCCUGCACCA
rnacentral:tRNA from 1 species